GUCGUAACAAGGUCUCCGUAGGUGAACCUGCGGAGGGAUCAUUACACAAAUAUGAAGGCGGGCUGGAACCUCUCGGGGUUACAGCCUUGCUGAAUUAUUCACCCUUGUCUUUUGCGUACUUCUUGUUUCCUUGGUGGGUUCGCCCACCACUAGGACAAACAUAAACCUUUUGUAAUUGCAAUCAGCGUCAGUAACAAAUUAAUAAUUACAACUUUCAACAACGGAUCUCUUGGUUCUAGCAUCGAUGAAGAACGCAGCGAAAUGCGAUAAGUAGUGUGAAUUGCAGAAUUCAGUGAAUCAUCGAAUCUUUGAACGCACAUUGCGCCCUUUGGUAUUCCAAAGGGCAUGCCUGUUCGAGCGUCAUUUGUACCCUCAAGCUUUGCUUGGUGUUGGGCGUCUUGUCUCUAGCUUUGCUGGAGACUCGCCUUAAAGUAAUUGGCAGCCGGCCUACUGGUUUCGGAGCGCAGCACAAGUCGCACUCUCUAUCAGCAAAGGUCUAGCAUCCAUUAAGCCUUUUUUUCAACUUUUGACCUCGGAUCAGGUAGGGAUACCCGCUGAACUUAAGCAUAUCA
rnacentral:rRNA from 1 species